UUAAGGUUUAUAAUCUUUCAUAUUUAAUACUAACAUAACAAAUAAUUUUUAAACAUUUCCUAUUCCAAUACUAGAAAAUAGAUAACUGUUUUUCGAUAUACAUCUCUUCAAGGCAUUAUAAAGAAUAUACAUGAAAGAAAGACACACACACAAAAACAACAUAUUUGUUCUUGUUUGACUAGAAUACAAAAGAGGAAGUAUUGAUACAUACAUGUGUAUUUUAGCUAGUACUUAUAGCAGUUAUAUGAUA